CCUACGGGAGGCAGCAGUGAGGAAUAUUGGUCAAUGGACGAGAGUCUGAACCAGCCAAGUAGCGUGAAGGAUGACUGCCCUAUGGGUUGUAAACUUCUUUUAUAUGGGAGUAAAAUGUUCCACGUGUGGGAUUUUGUAUGUACCAUAUGACUAAGGAUCGGCUAACUCCGUGCCAGCAGCCGCGGUAAUACGGAGGAUCCGAGCGUUAUCCGGAUUUAUUGGGUGUAAAGGGAGCGUAGGUGGAUUGUUAAGUCCGUUGUGAAAGUUUGCGGCUCAACCGUAAAAUUGCAGUUGAAACUGGCAGUCUUGAGUACAGUAGAGGUGGGCGGAAUUCGUGGUGUAGCGGUGAAAUGCUUAGAUAUCACGAAGAACUCCGAUUGCGAAGGCAGCUCACUGGACAGUAACUGACACUGAGGCUCGAAAGUGUGGGGAUCAAACAGGAUUAGAUACCCUAGUAGUC
rnacentral:rRNA from 1 species